UCAACCGAAUAGUGAAAUGAACGAUGUCAUUUAGAAUAUCAAAAGAUUGCAACGAAUACGCAAACGUCCAAUAUAUCAAGCAUUCAGGGCGUUCAAGUCUUUUUAUUAGAAAAAUGUCAAUUUAUCUUAAUGUAAUAACGACAAUCAUCACACCAGUCUAUCAAUUAAGCUUUUUAAGAGUGGAAACAGCUUUUCCGAUCUUUUAAACUGUAUCGCUCUCCAAAUAAUACAUUUUUCACAAUUGCGUCAGUGGAGCCUCGCGGCGAUACAAAGGAAAUUUUUCGUCCGCCAUGUUGGCGUUGGUCUGAUAGGAGGGCGGACUUACCAUACUGUAAUCACAAAAUUCUGCAACGUAGAACAUUUUCGCUCGACUCGCUCAAGGACGCACACACUUCUAAACAUGGCGACGGCUCCCGACAAAUUUCGACCGCGACCAGAUCUUGAGCUGCUCGCUACUUCACGUUUACACAAGCCACGGUGAGAUGCCGCUCCAACUGGGCGCUGAAUCUACGAUUGGCCGAAUACAACCGGAUACUUGGCAACGUGGCAGUAUCAGACGUUCCCGAUUGGUUACUAGUAAAAAUAUUAAAAGGGCUCGUUUUCCGACUAACAAAUCAAAUCAGCAACUAUUAUUUCUAAGUGUAAAACAUGCAUUCUUUACAAUCUACCACUAUAUGGAUUACAAUAUGCAUGAAACCUAUUAAUAAAAAGAUAUUACAUGUUAUUACUUGUUGAUAAGGAUUGAAGAUAUAUAAAAGCUUUAUCGUAUUUGGUAAAACAAUUUUAUCUGAUUAUCUGUAAAAUAAUCAAAUUUCUCAAAACUGAUCACAAAACGGCCGCUCUUAUGAUGUUAAAAAUAUAGAAAUUAAAAGAUCUUGUAACAGUAAAUUAUUAUUAUUAUCCUUCGGUAAUAAUUUUAUAUGAUUGUAUAGUAACCGACAAAUAUAGGCAUACAUUACAUGUA